UACGAAGGGGGCGAGCGUUGUUCGGAUUUACUGGGCGUAAAGGGCGCGUAGGCGGCCCUUCUGGUCGCGUGUGAAAGCCCCGGGCUCAACCUCGAGAUGUCGGCGGAAACCGUCUGGCUAGAGUCCGGAAGAGGAGAGUGGAAUUCCUGGUGUAGCGGUGAAAUGCGCAGAUAUCAGGAGGAACACCGGUGGCGAAGGCGGGUCUCUGGGCAGUAACUGACGCUGGAGGAGCGAAAGCGUGGGGAGCGAACAGG
rnacentral:rRNA from 1 species